rnacentral:tRNA from 1 species
GUCUCGUUAGCUCAGUAGGUAGAGCAUUUGACUUUUAAUCAAAGGGUCGGGGGUUCGAGUCUCCCACGAGACA